AAAAAAAUCAAUUAGAGAAAGAGAAACAUUUUUGCAAAGCUCUUAAAUUACAGACAAAAGGUUCAAAAUAUUUCCUAAGACAUAAAACUCAAUCAAUUCUAAGAAUUAAUUUGCAGACACAUUUCAUUGUUUCCAAAACUAAUUUACAGACAAAUUUAUCUACUUCCUAA